UACGUAGGGUGCAAGCGUUAAUCGGAAUUACUGGGCGUAAAGCGUGCGCAGGCGGUUUUGUAAGACGGAUGUGAAAUCCCCGGGCUUAACCUGGGAACUGCAUUCGUGACUGCAAGGCUAGAGUAUGGCAGAGGGGGGUAGAAUUCCACGUGUAGCAGUGAAAUGCGUAGAGAUGUGGAGGAAUACCGAUGGCGAAGGCAGCCCCCUGGGCCAAUACUGACGCUCAUGCACGAAAGCGUGGGGAG
rnacentral:rRNA from 1 species